CAGUCGCCGCGGUAAUACGUGGGUGGCAAGCGUUGUCCGGAAUUAUUGGGCGUAAAGGGCUCGCAGGCGGUUUCUUAAGUCUGAUGUGAAAGCCCCCGGCUCAACCGGGGAGGGUCAUUGGAAACUGGGAAACUUGAGUGCAGAAGAGGAGAGUGGAAUUCCACGUGUAGCGGUGAAAUGCGUAGAGAUGUGGAGGAACACCAGUGGCGAAGGCGACUCUCUGGUCUGUAACUGACGCUGAGGAGCGAAAGCGUGGGAGCGAACAGGAUUAGAUACCCCCGUAGUCCCUGUCUCUUAUACA
rnacentral:rRNA from 1 species